AAAGUCUACUAGGGGAGUCCAUAAUGCUUGGAUUGAGAAAAGAAUGCGUUAAAUUCUUUGACCCUUGGAACCUGAUCUGGAUGAUACCAGCGGAGGGAAGUAGUAAAAACAAGAA
rnacentral:ncRNA from 2 species